rnacentral:lncRNA from 1 species
GAAGGAGUAUGAAAACAUCUUAUAUUAUUGGCAUUCAAGCAUAAGAGGCAAGAGGGCUAUAUGCCUCAAACAUUAGGAGAGAAACUGAAACUAUUACACUUGAAGACAUAAAACUUGCAUGUGAUUAUUCUACUUGAUUUUGUAUCCAAGUCUAGUAGCAUAUGCAACAAGAUCGUUGAGCUCAUCCAUACUGAUGCAUCCAUCGUUGUUGAAAUCAGCAUGCUGGAGUGCUCUCCAUGCUCUAUAAGCAGGGAUAUAGGCACCCAACCGAUCAUAUGCAAGCUUUAUCUCUUCCCUGCUCAGGACUUUGUUGCCAUCGAUGUCGCAAGCGAGGAAAAUUUUCCGAAUCUGAUCCGCUUCAUAGUCGAUCGGUGCAACUUUAUCCUUUCUAUAGUAAUAAAAUGGCAUUUUGUUUAAAGGAUUUUGAGCUGUUUCUGGAAAAGAAACGUACACUACAGUUUUAAAAGGAUUUUGGGCUGCGCCUGUGUAUGAUCCUGGAAGUAUGGAGGGCUGGGC